GUCAAGGUAGAUCUUCCUCCUUCACGCGCUUUUUCUUUUUUUUUUAACCGGCUAAUGAGAUCGCGCCACGUGGGGAUGGGAAGGACAGUAUGGUCAAUAACAAUAUGGAGAAAUCGGUGAAAAAACUCCGGAGAUGGGGAUCCGGUGCUCCUCGAGGACCGGAGUUUACCGUGCGACGGCAAGUGCGGUGCGUUGUGAACCGUCCGAUGAAGGCCGCGACUUUAUCCAAUGAUAUAAACUAAUUCAUGAUCGCAUGAUCAUCAAUCAUCUAUGACUAAGGUCGAUCUCAUUGACGUGGCACCGCCCGUGGCGGCGGAGGAGCCGCCCUUGUUGGCGGCGUGACGGGCCUCUGCUCGGAAGCUGCUCUGGAGCGCCAUGGCGGAGAUCGAGCCGCGAUCUCGGAUUCUCUGUGAGUUUGUUUGUGUUUCUCUCCGUUUUCUCUCCCUUGGCGAUUCGCGAGGAGCGAGACGGCGUCCGCUUCGGCGGUAGAGUCGAGGUCCGGCGGUUGAAUGAGGCGGAGCGCUCGAAUGAACGGCGGUAGCGCCUCGCGAGGCCGCGAUCGACGGCACGGCGGUGCGCAUGCUCGUAUGAUGGCGCGAUCGUUAUGCUUCUCUGUCGAUGGUGACCCCUCGAUGGGUAGGUUCGAUGGGCUCAGGUUGCAGAGUCGCGACGGCAUCACGGGGGCGCCGGAUGAAGUCUGACACGAGUCCGAAAGCUCGCAAGGAGAUCGUUAUGCAUUUGCGUCGUGAUCGUGAAGGAGGUAUAUGCUUCAGUUGUUGUGGAAUACAGAAUCGUGCAUUGAAUUGUCACUGGAAAUGAGCCAUCACAGGAAUGUAUUAGCAAGUUUGGACUUUUGCACGGCACUGAGUGGAUCGAAGUUAAGUUCACUCGUUUGAUGAUGGCCUUAUUUGGAGUAUCAGCGCACGAUCUGUCCACCAUCGAAACUUAGCUUCUCAUGUUGAAUCUGUCUCAAUCUGAAAUGCGCAUCCUUUGUUAGGGGUGCCGAGCGCUGCCGGAAGAUCGUAGCGGCAAGAAGGUCUAGACAUUUGUUUCUUUUUGCCCCCGUUUCAUCAUUACACUUGUCGUUCGGGAUUCUUGUUGAAUAUCAUUUGGAAUUCACUGCGCACGAGUCAGUCUUCCGUAGGCUUCACGCACCCUAAACUUCUGGUCUCAUCAGAUGAACAACUUCCUAGUUUUCUUGCGCAUAACUAUGAUCCCCUUGAUCUGUCCCGAGGCAUGAAGUCUAUGGAGUAGAUUUACCGAGGCAGUCUGUUCGCCUCUUUUGAUGGCUGGUUGACAAGAACCGCUUCAUCACACUCAUCUUGCGCCGGUGUUGCAAUAUUACGCGGCAUUGUGCUCCAGUUGAUUGAAUGACGACACCUCUCAUUAACAAUGCCAUGGUUCAUUGCACCUUCAGAGUUGAACCCAGAAUCUUUGUGGGUCUGCUCUCCUCCUCAAUACUCGAACAAAUACUCUGUUUUUUUAAUGAUUGAACAGUAGCUCCCGAACUCAUUCUUCUGUAUCCAGGUCCUUGAUUUCCUGUAGUACAGCAGACUCUUUCUUAAUAAAGAUUCUUCACAUUAUUCGUAUCCAACUUCCUGUUUUCUCUUCCUGAUAGAUGGAAUAAUCGGUCACUUUUUGCAUGUUAGUCCCCCUUUCUUACCUUUUUUAAGGAAAUGCAGUAUUCGACAUGCCUGUGACAUCUGCAAUGUGUAAAAUUUCUCUUUGUUCUGGCGUGUGUUUGUAAAAUAUCUUCUGAGUAGACUCCUCUUCAAUUACUUUUGGCUUUCUCAGAUCAUAUUUUCCCUACCGGUCAUGUAUCAUAGCCCAGGUUUUCUUUGACUGACCCUGAUUUCUUUUUGCGCUCUGCUAACUCACUGCCUUCUUGCUUGUGUGGGUCGUUGAUUUGGCUGAGCCAGAGGUUGCUGAGGAACUUCCGAGCUAAAAGGGUUACAUGCACUCGGAUCGUUAAGAUCUCACGAAAGCUUGGAGUUUCUUCAAAAAAAUUGUGAGCUGGCGUAGCAUGUGAAAUGAAGGAUCGACCGAAUUCUGCACGGUUUUGACUCCUGUUGGUUCUGUUAAGUAUCAAGAUGUAGGAGCAUUGGUUUUUCAUGCCAUAUUCAAGAGGAAUUCGGAAAAGCGGGCGAAUUUGAAUAAUUCUGUGUAGCAUUGUUCAUUUUCUGCAAUCUGCAUUGCUCCUCUGGCCAUAGCACAUGACCCGGUAAGAAGCUCUGGUUUGACGAAUGUCGGCCCCUUAGAACUGCUCAAAAGAUUUAGACCGCUUUGAUUACAAUUAUCAACUUAGUACACUUUUGACUGAUUGGGCAGAAGAAUCUGCAAAUGAAAGACGUGAAAUUUGUUGAGUU